AGUGAACGCUGGCGGUAGGCCUAACACAUGCAAGUCGAACGGCAGCACAGUAAGAGCUUGCUCUUACGGGUGGCGAGUGGCGGACGGGUGAGGAAUACAUCGGAAUCUACUUUUUCGUGGGGGAUAACGUAGGGAAACUUACGCUAAUACCGCAUACGACCUACGGGUGAAAGCAGGGGAUCUUCGGACCUUGCGCGAUUGAAUGAGCCGAUGUCGGAUUAGCUAGUUGGCGGGGUAAAGGCCCACCAAGGCGACGAUCCGUAGCUGGUCUGAGAGGAUGGUUGGGCCCACUGGGACAGGGGAACCGGCCCAGCGCCUACGGGGGGGCGCAGGGGGGAAUAUUGGGCAACGGGGGGAAACCUUGUCCAGCCCUACCGCGUGGGUGGAGAAGGCCUUCGGGUUGGAAAGCCCUUUUGUUGGGAAAGAAAAGCAGCAGGUUAAUACCCCGCUGUUCUGACGGUACCCAAAGAAUAAGCACCGGCUAACUUCGUG
rnacentral:rRNA from 1 species